CCCUUAGAUGUUCUGGGCCGCACGCGCGCUACACUGAUAAUGUCAACAAGCUUUACCUUGGCCGAUAGGUCUGGACAAUCUUCGAACUAUUAUCGUGAUGGGGCUAGAUUAUUGCAACUAUUAAUCUUAAACGAGGAAUUCCUAGUAAGCGCGAGUCAUCAGCUCGCGUUGAUUACGUCCCUGCCCUUUGUACACACCGCCCGUCGCUCCUACCGAUUGGAUUGGCUGGUGAAGCGUUCGGAUUGUGGGUUCGGAGCGGUUCGCCGUUCUGGGCUUGCGAGAAGUUCGUUAAACCCUCCUAUCUAGAGGAAGGAGAAGUCGUAACA
rnacentral:rRNA from 1 species